GCUAAUGAUUUACCCAAAUUUGCUGUCUACAGUUUGCUGGUCCAUAAGUAGGCUAUAAAGAUAUAACCAGUCAAGCCACUGGUUGUUUAAUCACAAUCUCUUGAUCUGUACUAUAGGGUAAUUGCAUGCAUAGACACUCAUGUAAGUUUUGAGGCCUUUGAGCAGACUAUUUUGACAGCAGUACCAUCAUUCUCCUACCUCCAGCUGGCAAUUACUUACUACUUUUGGUGAACUCCCAUCCUUGGAGCUACACUCAUCUUUUGAGGGUUAUAAAGGUGGCGGGUGAGACUUCUUUUGGUUUUUUAACUUUGCUGAUGGCAACACUUCAAUCAGUCUUGAAAAUGUCUCACAUUGUUGCUUAGUAAUGUUUGCUACCUCUAAUCUUUCACUGAUUAUGCUUGAUAAGCCAGCAAUGUAUAUGGUCAUGUGAAAAUCUUAAAUGGUCUUUUAAUGUUUAAAGGUUAUAACGAGAGAGAGAGAGAGAGAGAGAGAGAGAGAGAGAGAGAGAGAGAGAGAGAGAGAGUGCAUAUCCAACCCCUCGGAAAAUCCCCUAAUUUCACCAAGCCCUGUCUUGUUUGACCUCCCUGUCAUUUGGGUUUCGACAGCAUGUGGCUUCUGACAGUUUGAGUUUAGCUCAGCAGCUUAGAGGGGGUCUUCUUGGACAUUAGAGGACAUGUGUCCACAACCAGGAGCCCACGCCUGACACCAGCAGAAAGAGAAGCCUGUUGACGACUAAUUUCCAGCAGCGGGAUAUUACCAAGGAGGAUACCACCAUCCCACACUGCGGGUCAGUCACCUCAGGACCCAUGCUGCCUUUCUACGUCCUUUGACCAGAACAGGCUCCAUAACUGCCCAACAGGAACCUGGCGUCAUACAGUUCACCCCCUACCUCUUAGCCCUGAGGUGUGUGUAUGCCAUCAUUGCAGGUGUUUACCUCCAAACCAACCCGAAGAACCCCUGCCAUGGCAACACAAUCACACACUAUGUGGUCAACACAGGAAAUGCAAAUGCGAACACCUGAGUGAAUACCUCAGGGAACAAUUAAUUUAAGGAUUAGCAUUAAUGAAGUAAUGUUCUGCUUGUUUGUUUAACAACAUAUAACCAACUUGAUUGUGUAUGUUUUAUUUAGUUUAGUUUGGAUUACUUCUAAAAUAAACUUUUAUACAUUAAUAAAGAA
rnacentral:lncRNA from 12 species